rnacentral:misc_RNA from 1 species
GAUGCGGUUGAUGCGGCUAUAAAAUCUGGAAAAUUGAACCCAGCAAAUAAAUGCUUGACAUACAACCUACAACUCGUAGGUGCAGAUGGAUGGGAUCUUGCAUCUUUUACGGUACUUUCUCAACAAUAUGUCCGCAUGAAAAGGUCUCAUGCAGGGAAGGUUGUUCCAGGAGCGAUGGACACAGCUGCCGCUAAACAUCUAUCUCAUGCAUAUGGUGCGAUGGCUGAACGAGUGGCUGCUAUUGCUCAGAAUGAAAAUCUGGGAAAACGACUGGCUCAUGGAUACCCUUUCUUGGAAGCUGAGGUUGCAUACUGUGCUCGGGAAGAAUACUGUGAA